rnacentral:miRNA from 1 species
UUCCGAAAGGCUUGAAGCGAAU